rnacentral:rRNA from 1 species
GCCUACGGGAGGCAGCAGUGAGGAAUAUUGGUCAAUGGGCGGAAGCCUGAACCAGCCAAGUCGCGUGAGGGAAUAAGGCCCUACGGGUCGUAAACCUCUUUUGCCGGGGAGCAAGGGCGGGAACGUGUCCCGGCCCGGAGAGUACCCGGAGAAAAAGCAUCGGCUAACUCCGUGCCAGCAGCCGCGGUAAUACGGAGGAUGCGAGCGUUGUCCGGAAUUACUGGGUGUAAGGGGAGCGUAGGCGGGACGGCAAGUCAGAUGUGAAAACUGAGGGCUCAACUUUCAGACUGCAUUUGAAACUGCUG